AGACAUGUAGAAAGGAGGGGGAAAAGAAGAAUGGAAUGAAAAUAUGCAACUAAAGUUAUCUAAAUGCAACACACAUGACACGACACACAAAACGGAAUAACACACUCACAACACGAGACAAAAUACAACACACACAAACACAACAAAAGACCUAAAACCGAACCGUUGGUCCCCGACAACGGCGCCAAAAUUUGAUGGGUAUCGCAACCCAUACAAAUUUGAUUGCAAUUUAGAAAUGCAGUAUAGUGCUAGGAAGUGACUCCUAGGUCGCCUCUCAAGGACCAAAUGUGGUUCGAGAAUUAGGUCAGACACGUAGUGGGGGGUUUUGAAAGUGUUUUUGCAAGGAAAAUUAAAUUAAAUUAAAACUGGAAAUUAAAGACAACAAAACAUAAUUGAAAACAUUCAAAUAAAUGAACAAAGCAUGAAGACCGAACAGUUCUACAGAUGACCAAACGGUUCUACAUUGAGACCGAAUGAUCGCUAAAGCAAGUGAAGAAAUUGGAAAUACAUGAAGAUAAAGAAACUGAAUAAAAUAGACAACAUAGUAAAAGGAAAAAGUACACUGAACAUAAUAGACAACAUGAAAACGGUAAAUUGAACAAUCCUAAAGCAAGGUGUGUGUGAACCGAUUCACAUGCAGAAAAUAAAGAAACACUAUGUUAAAAACGAAAUGCACAUAUGAACCAAAAUAAAUGCAAUAAAUAAUUAAGAAGACUCAUGACC
rnacentral:lncRNA from 1 species